AACGCGAAGAACCUUACCUGGGCUUGAACCGCUACUGACCAAGGGUAGAAAUAUCCUCUUCCCGCAAGGGACAGUAGUAGAGGUGCUGCAUGGCUGUCGUCAGCUCGUGCCGUGAGGUGUUGGGUUAAGUCCCGCAACGAGCGCAACCCUUACUCGUAGUUGCUACCCGCAAGGGAGAACUCUACGAGGACUGCUCCGGAUAACGGAGAGGAAGGUGGGGAUGACGUCAAGUCAGCACGGCCUUUAUGUCCAGGGCUACACACGUGUUACAAUGCAUGGUACAGACUGUUGCGAACCCGCGAGGGGGAGCUAAUCGGACAAAGCCAUGCUCAGUUCGGAUUGCAGUCUGCAACUCGGCUGCAUGAAGCUGGAAUCGCUAGUAAUGGCGUAUCAGAUCGACGCCGUGAAUACGUUCCCGGGCCUUGUA
rnacentral:rRNA from 1 species